rnacentral:rRNA from 1 species
UUGCCUACGGGGCGCAGCAGUAGGGAAUCUUUCACAAUGGGCGAAAGCCUGAUGGAGCAACGCCGCGUGCAGGAUGAAGGCCUUCGGGUUGUAAAAUUCUGUUAUAAGGGAAGAAAGGUGAUAGGAGGAAAUGACUAUCAAUUGACGGUACCUUAUGAGAAAGCCACGGCUAACUACGUGCCAGCAGCCGCGGUAAUACGUAGGUGGCAAGCGUUAUCCGGAAUUAUUGGGCGUAAAGAGCGCGCAGGUGGUUAAUUAAGUCUGAUGUGAAAGCCCACGGCUUAACCGUGGAGGGUCAUUGGAAA